UUUCAAAAACCUUUAGUUGCUUCCAAGAUCUUUAUUUGAUUUCAACCCUUUUUAUUUAUUAUUUGUUUCUAAAAUAAAAGUGUGUUUCUAAAAUAUUUAUAAAAGCCCUCGCUUUUUCGUCAGCAACCUCACGUUUGCGCCGAUUGUUCGCUUUAUUAGUUUGGGAGUAGCAACGAGUCGUGCGAGGACCUAGGUAUAGCAAGCUAGUCAUGCGAGGAACAAGCUCCACGAGACUUCGAACCAGGCAAGUCACUACACCUUUUGACCACGUUGAACCUAUGAUUCGAAAAUGCAUUCUUUUACUUUAAAUUACAUGCAGAACAUUUAGAGGCCCAUUGUAAGUAGUUUUACUCGUCAUAUGCUUGAUUACCCUGAAACCUUUGUAGCCUCAUUACUCAACUAUAAACUAGUCAACAUAUGAUAUUGCUUAGCCCUGCUAUUAGCUACAUUUUAUUCAAUAUUAUACUUUGAAAUGAUUAGGAUGAUGGCGAGCCAUUACUCAGUGGGAGUAAAUGCAUGACGACGGGUAGAGACAUGAGCGCCACCCGGCCAUGUUGAGAAUAAGUUGUUAAGAUAAAAACUAUUUUCGAUUGGGGCGGAGCGGUGAGAAUAUGGGUGGUUCCAGGAAAAGGUUAGCCGCCUCUGAUCAGUUAAGGACCGAGCCAUGCAGCUAUACAUGAAACGAACACCAUACAACCGUGUUUCUCGAAUGGGUAUAUACCUAGCUUAUUAAAUAGUCGAGCGGAGUUGGUGUCCAAGUCGCGGUGGUUCUUAUGAGUGUGCAAGAGGGCAGAAAGCCUAUUGCACAAGGGAUGACCAGGAGGGUCACUCCCUAUGAACUGUGGUGUGUUGGGUAUAUGGUUGUUGGUUUACUCCUCCCUCGGGAACAUCAGAACUCCCCUCACUGCUAGUAACGGUACGUCUAGAGUGCAACAGGGACUAAAGUUCAUGGAGCAGCCACUACCAAAGUAAGGUUAUCGAAAAGCGUUGCAACGACCGUCUCAUGUGUUGGGACGAGGCUCAUGUGUUGGGCAGUCGUGGAGCAUGGGAAAGUAUACAACCACUGCAGUGUGUUUAAAUCUAUUCGAAUAGCAGCGCUCUCGGAUAUAAGCACCGAGACAUGGUAUACACUUGGCUAGACUUAUAAAAACCCAACAGAUGAGUAUGGGAUGAGAAUGAAAGUGUUGUAUGUGUGUCUAGGUGAUUUACUCCUUGAGAUGCAAGGGGGUGAAUUAUCUAGAAGAUGACAUGGAUGCCAUGAAGGAAAACCAUUAGUGGACGGCUGACAGAACCUUCAUGGCUAUUUAAUUACACUCAUGGAAUAGAAAUUGCUGCUAGAAAAUAGGUUUUGUGAAAACUAUUUGAAAAGCCACUUUUAUGCAAAAGAACCCUAUAGCCUUCCUUAAUACAACCUUGCAUAUGCAUAUUUUCAUGUUGAUUUGCUGAGUACCCCGUACUCACCCUUGCUAAAUGCAAACCUUCAGUGCUCAAGAGGAUAUGGCUCUAAAUCCAGUGUAGAGCUACGGAGUUAUCACAGUUGAAGCGGUCGUCUAGCGGUCUCUGUCUCCCAGUCGCCGCCUGUGUCGUGUCAGAUGUGCCCUCCUAUUCCCUUUCGCUUCCACUGUUAUUGUUAUAAAGUUUUGAUUUAACCAAAGGUUCAUAAUUAAACCCUUUCAACCUUAUCUUUUUGUUGUGAUAUGUGACGAUCCAAAUAUAUAUAUGUACCAACUAUUGAUCUAAGAAUUGGUACUGAUAAACACAACACAGAAGGUUACCGAUUAGCGCAAUCGGGGGCCGACAAUAUGUUAGCGAGUAAUUCCAAUUAUAUGUGUCUUGACAUCACAAAUGAGUCCUUUUUGUGUAGACUGCAAGCUGAGAUAGACGAAGAUGGAUGCUUCCUGAUUUCGCAUUUCUGAUGGUGUUUUUGCUCAGUCAAAUCGAAUUGUUUUCUUAUGUCCAUCUCGCACACACGUUAUUUUGGGCAAGCAGACUGUGAGCGGAGAACACGGUUGACACGUGGAUGACUUCACCAAGUGACAGACAACAUAAACACCUUGAUUUUUUGAUUUUUUUAACUAGGUUAAGAUUUUGAUAAGUCAUAUGUUAGGAGUAAAGUGGUGUAAUAGUAAAUUUCUUAAUGCUAAGUGGACACGAAAAUAUACCGGAAGCACAUCGAUUUUGUCCUUUUUUAUCUAGCCAUAAAAGGUUUCUCCUCUAAUUCUUUCUUAUUGGUUAAUCAGAUUUUACUUAUGUAAUAAAUUUAAACUUCUAUUUUUCCUCUAGAGUCAAAAUCAAUCAUUUUAGACAUAGUUGUCAUGCUAAAAAAAGAAAAUUACAUUAUAAUAUGCACAAUAUAAAGUGUAAGAUAUAAAAGUGAUAAUAUAAGGUUUGACUAUUUUCUUAAAUAAUAAAGUCAAUUUUACAAAAGCACAUUAAUGACUUGUGUCACUCACGUGGCCUAGGCUUUGUGGUUCGGAGACUUCACAAGACUAUGUCCUUAUGAGGAGCACACAUUUACAUCAAGAACUUCAUCAUACACGGUAUCUAUAGAAUUUUUUUAUUUUUUUUCUUUUUAAUACAAGUUGCCAUCUUAAUUGUUUGGAUGCAUAAUACUAGUUUACAUUUUAAAUUUACUUGUUAUUUAUAUAAAGUGUGGUUAUGUGAAACCCAUAGACCAUAAAACCUGUCGUCACAUGCCAUAUACAUAGUACUUGUGGUUUUAUGCAACUUCGAUCAAAUUUACACUAAAUAGUAUGGCCUAAGUAUAGCUUCACCGAUAAAGUUUGGCAUGUAAGUGGACUAAUAUAAUUUAAUUGGUUUUUUAUUCAAUUCAAAACAAAAGGUUCCCCUGGCUCAACAUACUAAAGAAAAAAUAAAUAAAAGUUUACUCUCCAACCGCACACAUGAGAUAAAUUGCUCGCAACUAUUAUACGUUAUACUCUCAUUUAUCAAUAAUUACUACUAUUAAUUCAAAUCUUCAUAAUUUUAAUACAAACC
rnacentral:lncRNA from 1 species